rnacentral:rRNA from 1 species
GAUGAACGCUGGCGGCGUGCUUAACACAUGCAAGUCGAACGGGAAUCAUCUUAUUGAGACUUCGGUGGAUUUAAAAUGAUUCUAGUGGCGGACGGGCGAGUAACGCGUGGGUAACCUGCCUUAUACUGGGGGAUAACAGCCGGAAACGGCUGCUAAUACCGCAUAAGCGCACGGGGGCGCAUGUUCCUGUGUGAAAAACUCCGGUGGUAUAAGAUGGACCCGCGUUGGAUUAGCUAGUUGGCAGGGCAGCGGCCUACCAAGGCGACGAUCCAUAGCCGGCCUGAGAGGGUGGACGGCCACAUUGGGACUGAGACACGGGCCCAGACUCCUACGGGAGGCAGCAGUGGGGAAUAUUGCACAAUGGGGGGAACCCUGAUGCAGCGACGCCGCGUGAAGGAGAAGUAUCUCGGUAUGUAAACUUCUAUCAGCA